GGGAGACUUUCAAAAGAGAUGGAACACAUGGAAGGAUGAGCAAUCAAUGUCAUCUAUCAACAAAGUUGAUAAUAAGGUUCAUCGUCUAAGAGUUUACUCUGUUGGGUGGGGUGCCACAGUAAUAACAGAUAAAACACAACUGUGGAACAUGGUGAAAAGAGAAAUAUUAUCUCAAAGGACGACUAGGAAUAUCCAAAAUGUUGCAGCAAGUAUUAGUAACCAUUCACAAAAAUCUUUUAAAUUAAAGCAAGACAUCUUCAU